ACCUUCCUUGUCAUGGGGUGAGUGAGCUGCUCGAGGAACGUCUCGUGAGGGCAGCCCUGCUGGCGCCAGAAACGACACUCAAGCAUCGCCUGGGCUUCGGUCCGGGUCAUGGUGCAAUUUUUGGAACC